GUUCAUAUUUGGUUGAUCUCGAAAUAAAUAAAUAAAUAAAUAGUGUAUAUAAAUAUUUUAGACUUCUAUGUAGAAAAUUUGAAUAUUAUUUUAAGUUAUUGCCUCUUUUUAGUAUGGCUUUUAAAUUUUAAUACUAAUAAAUAAUACUAAGAGCGAUAGCAAGAAUCAAUAAUCAAUAUAACAGAAUUAGGUUGUAGGGACACAUGCUUGAGACACUUUUGUCUAAGUGUUCCAUUUAUGUUAAAAUUUUAAAAAACAUCUACUAAUACCUAAAUAUAAAGCCGAAUCCAACAAAAAUAAAAGAUUACUAUACUCAACCCACCCAACCCAGCCCAUUUGGCUCGAUUCCAAACAAAAAAGAAAAAAAACAAAGAAAAAUUAAGUUCCAUCUCCCCUUCUCCCCUCACUCAAUCCACUGAAAUUCUAGACGAAGAGUCCUUCCCUCUCGUCCUCCUCUGCCACAGCAGCUAACGAGGUAGAGUUCCGGCAGUUACUAGAUGCUUAAAUAAGUGUUGCUGAAUUACCGGCACUUUUUUAGAUUAUAACGACACUCUUUAACUGUUGCUAUAUACCUAACGACCUCACAUAUAGCAACACUUUUUAAAAGUGUCGGUAAUUUAGCCAGCAACAUUUUUUGUAACCUAUACCUAUAUUUAAAAAUAUUGUUAUAGACCGUUUUUAUUGUAGUGAAUAACAUUAAUUAUAGUUAGUAUCAAUAUUUUUUAAAAGCUUAAUUCAAGUUUGCUCAAAAAUAAUGU
rnacentral:lncRNA from 1 species